UUUUGCAUGUGAUACUUAUACCAGAAAGU
rnacentral:piRNA from 1 species